UACACUCCUACGGGAGGCAGCAGUGGGGAAUUUUGGACAAUGGGGGCAACCCUGAUCCAGCAAUGCCGCGUGAGUGAAGAAGGCCUUCGGGUUGUAAAGCUCUUUUGUCAGGGAAGAAACGGUGGUGGCGAAUAACUACUACUAAUGACGGUACCUGAAGAAUAAGCACCGGCUAACUACGUGCCAGCAGCCGCGGUAAUACGUAGGGUGCAAGCGUUAAUCGGAAUUACUGGGCGUAAAGCGUGCGCAGGCGGUUGUGUAAGUCAGAUGUGAAAUCCCCGGGCUCAACCUGGGAAUUGCAUUUGAGACUGCACGGCUAGAGUGUGUCAGAGGGGGGUAGAAUUCCACGUGUAGCAGUGAAAUGCGUAGAUAUGUGGAGGAAUACCGAUGGCGAAGGCAGCCCCCUGGGAUAACACUGACGCUCAUGCACGAAAGCGUGGGGAGCAAACAGGAUUAGAAACCCGUGUAGUCC
rnacentral:rRNA from 1 species